rnacentral:rRNA from 1 species
GCUCAGGAAAAACGCAAGAGACGUGCCUAACACAUGCAAAUUUAAUAGUUAUAGAUUAACUAUAGUGAAUUGGUGAGUAAUAUAUGAAAAUUUAAUUUUAGAUUAGAAGUAUUCUUAAUAACUUAGGAUUAAUCUCUGAUAAGCGCAUUUGUGCUUUAAAAAGUUAAAACUGUCUAUAAAAAAGUUCAUAUCUGAUUAGCUAGUUAGUAAGGUAAUACUUAUUAAGGCGAAGAUCAGUAGCUGCCCUGAGAGGGGGACCAGCCACAUUGGGAUUGAGAUACAGCCCAAACUCCUACGGGAGGCUGCAGUGGGGAAUCUUCUGCAAUGAGCGCAAGCUUGACAGAGCAUCGUCACGUGAAGGAAGACAGCUUAUUAUAGUUGUAAACUUCUUUUGUUUAAAAGUGAAUACUGACACUUAAGCAAAUAAAGUAUCGGCAAACUCCGUGCCAGCAGCCGCGGUAAAACGGGGGAUACAAGCGUUAUCCGGAAUUACUGGGCGUAAAGCGUAUGUA